AAAAAUUCCCCAACCUAGGUUAGGGGAUCAUUAGACCGAAGCUUGCUGCUGAAAAAUAUUGCCAGAAUAACACGCCGUACGAGAUAGCAAUAACAGGAAAUUGACCGGUCGGAGGUUCGAGAAAGGAAAAAUAACAAAUCAAAUAAGAAAGAGGGUUUACUAACAUUAUAUUAUGCAAAUCUGAGAACUUUUCUUCCCCCUAUUCCUUUAAGAUUUAUCUUAUGUAGUGAUUUAAUCUUUGAUCUNNNNNNNNNNNNNNNNNNNNNNNNNNNNNNNNNNNNNNNNNNNNNNNNNNNNNNNNNNNNNNNNNNNNNNNNNNNNNNNNNNNNNNNNNNNNNNNNNNNNNNNNNNNNNNNNNNNNNNNNNNNNNNNNNNNNNNNNNNNNNNNNNNNNNNNNNNNNNNNNNNNNNNNNNNNNNNNNNNNNNNNNNNNNNNNNNNNNNNNNNNNNNNNNNNNNNNNNNNNNNNNNNNNNNNNNNNNNNNNNNNNNNNNNNNNNNNNNNNNNNNNNNNNNNNNNNNNNNNNNNNNNNNNNNNNNNNNNNNNNNNNNNNNNNNNNNNNNNNNNNNNNNGCAUUUAAGAGCUAGGUGGAUGUAAUAAUACUCCAAUUUAAUAACAAGCUCACUAUAUUUAUAUAUUGAAGUAUUUGGCGAGUUUUUUGGUACUCUGCCGAAUCAAUAAUAGGUCCCCGCAGCCUAAGCCGUGGUCCAUUUUGAUUUUGUUGGUAGUACUUAUUUUUAUGUGUUGAUGACAUAGUACUAUUAUGCUGGUAAAAACUUAUCCGUAUUCGAUAUUUACGAAUGACAUGAGCAAGCUUAUGAGUUAAAUCGUUUAUUAUUUUACAUUUCGUACGAGUUAAUUGCACUAAGCUUUGAUCAAAUUUUAAUGUAAUUAUUUCAUAAUUCAAUUUGUCAAAUUUCAGCUCAUAAUAUUUUUUAGUAGCUUUCAAAUGUUAUUUUAAAUAUAAGAACUUUCUGCACAUAAUUUUUUGUCCAAAAGUUGAUCGAAUUAGUUUCGGAAAAUAAAAGGCCGUUGAAUUAAUAAUUAUUGGGAAUCUUAUGGGAAUGUAUCAAAGAAAGACACUAUUUAUCAACAACUGGUCAUUUUAGUCAUACUACCAAAAAUAACCCCAAAAUUUUAUAAAUAAUAUACAACAUUCAAAAAACAUAAGUAAUUUUUUUUUUCUUUCAACGGAUAUUGUUGCGAUUCAUUGAAAACCAUAGAUAAGGUAAUAUGCAAAAUUUGACGAAGUUUGGAGACGAGCUAGACUAGUUUGGAGUCAAAAUUCAUUACCAAUGAUAUAAAUGGGAGGUGAUUUGGUAUCAAAUUUCGUAGUUAAAAUCGAGUUUAAAAUAUUUUUCUGCAACACAUGUAUCACGUAUGUAUCUCACACCCAGAUAUACAUGGAUAUAUAGGUGAUACAUAUGUGAUACACAAAGUGAUGCACAUAUCAUCUUUUUUCAAGUUCAUCUUAUACUCUGAAUUUUCAAUUCAAACCACUUUAGAACCCCACCAAAUCAUCACAAAAUUGAGAUCCAAACUCCUUAAGAUGUACUCAUUCUAUUUUAAUAACACCCACUCAAAAGAAAGUAAAAAUUUGACUUUUUUUUUUGCACAAAUAACUAAUUAACUAAUAUUGAUAGCAUUUGGUUAAUAUUAGUAAUAUUUUAUUAAUUGGUCAAUUUUUAGAAUAAGUUACUUAUAGGCGGACAUAGCUAAUAGUUUCCCAUAAUUAUUCGAACAUUAAAAUUAUACAAGUGAAAAUUCAGCUCACUAAUUAUUCAAACUUUUAGAGGAGAGCAUAUGCAAGCAGAAAUCCAGAGUACAAUGGCCCAAAUUAGGGGACUCAAACUCAGCUUAUUUCUUUGCCAGCAUCAAGAAUAAGAGAGCUCAGAAUCAUAUUAAAUCACUUGCUAGUGCAACGGGUGAAAUUAUCCAAUCAGAAAAGGGGAUAGAGGAGGAGAUUCUAGGUUUCUAUAAGAACCUACUUGGGGCUGCAAAUCCCACAUUACCUGCUAUACAAUUAGAUUUUAUAAGGAGGGGAUCUAUCAUAUCAAGGGCACAACAGUUGCAGCUUAUUCGACCAUUUACCAGGAAAGAAGUUUGGCAAGCAUUACAGGGGAUUGGUGAUAACAAAGCUCCAGGGAUAGAUGGAUUUAACUCAUUGUUCUUUAAGAAAGCAUGGAUCUCAAUUGGAGAUGAGGUAACUGAAGUUGUUCUAAACUUCUUUGACACCAUGAAACUCUACCAACCAAUAUACUGCACAUCCAUCACCUUGGUUCCUAAAGUUAAAAGCCCUUCCUUAGUAAAACAAUAUAGACCUAUCUCCUACUGCUCCACAAUCUAUAAGAUCAUGUCCAAAAUGCUCACUAGCACACUCCAGGGAUUAUGGAUAGCCUCAUUGAUGAGAGCCAGGAGGUAUUUGUACCUGGCAAAGUCAUAACUGAUAAUAUUAUCCUUAGCUAUGAAUUAGUGAAAGGAUAUGGGAGGAAAGGGGUGUCACCAAGAUGCAUAAUCAAAAUUGACAUGCAAAAAGCUUAUGACUCUAUAGAAUGGUUGUUCCUAGAACAAGUUCUAAAUGAUAUGAACUUUCCUGAAAUAUUUGUUAGGUGGAUCAUGGUAUGUAUAUCAACAGUCUCAUACUCUAUAGUCAUAAAUGGUAAAUCAAGUGCUCCUUUUACUGCAAAAAGGGGAGUAAGGCAGGGUGACCCCUUGUCACCAUUCCUGUUUGUGAUAGCCAUGGAUUACCUCAGUAGACUACUAAAAACAUUGAAAGAUAAUAUCACGACCCUAAAACCUGCCCAGUCAUGAUGGUGCCAAUCAUGAAACUAGGUCAGCCGACACAAAUUCCAAAUCAAACCAGUAUUUCAUAAAAAGGAAUUUUUUAAAUAUAAAUUUACUAAAAUCCCAUAACAUGCGUCUAAAUAACAAGUGCGAAAAAUAACAUAAGCCCGACAUCGGGGUGUCACAAGUCACGAGCAAUUACAAGGUCUGUCUAAGUACAAUAAAGUCUAUCAAAGUCUGGGAACAAUACUAAUAUAAUCUAGGAAAGAUAAGAGGGAGAAGAGCAGGGUUGUGAACGCCAUGCAGCUACCUUGCCGACUCCAAAUGACCCGUUGGAUGAAGAUCAAUGCUCGCUAUCAACCCGUAACUCAUGGAUCUACACACAAGGUGCAGGGAGUAAUGUGAGUACGCCAACUCAGUAAGUAAUAAAAGUAAAUAAAAAUUGAGCAGUAAGAAAUUAUAUAAUUCCACGUCAUAGCACUACAACAAAUACGGUAUGGUUCCAAAAUAGUGUAGAAAUCAAUUAUCUCAUAAAAACUCAGUUUCAGAAAAAAUACUUUGAAAAAUAUCUUUCUACAGUUUCAACUGAGAAUUUACAGAAGUGUAGAGUAAAAAUGAUGAAAAUCAUAAUCAACCCCUCGGGCAAAAACAUGUAUCAUAAAUCGCCCCUCAGGCAUAAUAUCAACAGAACCAACCCCUCGGGCUACCUCACAAUCACUCGAAAUCAGCCCAUCGGGCAUAACAUGUAUCAGAGUCAGCCCCUCGAGCAACAACAUAUCACUCACUCAGGGUACCCGCGCUCACUGGAGGUGUACAGAAUCCGGAGGGACUCCUACAACCCAAGCGCUAUCACAAUCCAUCUCAUGGAUAAAUCAGGCCCUCGACCUCUCAUAUAUCACAAAAUAGUACAACCUACUGUGGCGUGCAACCCGAUCCCAUGAUAUCCUCACAACAUAGGCCCUCGGCCUUACUCAGUCAGAAACCUCUCAAGCCACUCGGGAUAACAGUAAAAUAGGGUGCUUAGCCCAAAAAUUUCAUUUAUGUAUCAAAUCAGAGUAAAUAAGACUGAGUUAUGAAAUCAGUAAAACAUAGCAUGAUUGAGUACAAUUGUUAAAUCAAAACAAUGAGGAAUUUCAGUAAAGAAAACCCCUAAGGGUCCAAACAGAUGGCACGAGGCCCAAAUAUAGUAUUCAGCCCAAAACAUAGUAAUACCUUCUAACAUAAGAUAAUAUCAAGUAGUUUCAGUCAAAUACGCAACUUAAUAGUUGCUACGGGACGGACCAAGUCAUAAUUUCCAACUGUGAACGGCCCUCACGCUUGUCAUCUAGCGUGUGCGUCACCUCAAAAUAGUACAACGAUGUAAAAUCCGGGGUUUCAUACCCUCAGGACAACAUUUACAAUCAUUACUUACCUCAAACCGGACCGAACUCUAACCCGCAAUGCCUUUGCCUCUCUACCGGCCUCCAAAUGCUCCAAAUCUAACCAAAAUCAGUAUCACAUCAUUAAUACAUGCUAAAGGAACAAAGCCCAAGCAAAAAUGAUCAAAUUAACUCGGAAAUCCCGAAAUUGGUCAAACCCGACCCCCUGGCCCACGUCUCGGAAUCUGAUAAAAAUUACAACACUAGAAUUCUUAUCCACUCACGAGUCUAUACAUACCAAAACCAUCAAAAUCGGACCUCAAAUGGCCCCUUAAAUCCCCAAUUUAAACUCUCCAAUUUCAAGUCUUAAUUCCCUAAUUUUCACCCUUAAAUCCUACAAAUUCCAAGCUUAAUCUACUGAAAAUCAUCAUAGAAUCGGGUAUUAAGUUCAAAAAUCUUAUCUCAACAAGUUUCCCCUUGAUUCCCUCUUCAAAACCCUCCAAGAGCUUCAAUCCCAACUUCAAAAAUGGUGGAAUAGGUCAAAUUUUGUGAAGGAGAAUUUAUAUACUUUCUGCCCCAGGGAUUCCGCACCUGCAGCCCAUAUCAUGCUUCUGCGGACCGCUUCUGCUGUCAAAUCAACCGCACAUGUGGCUUUCACUUAAAGUCCCAGGACCGCAUCUGCGACCAGGCACCGCACUUGUGGUCCCGCAGAUGCUCCCAACCUACCACACCUGUGGUUCUUCUCCUGAUGGCCCAAUUCCGCAUCUGCGGUCUCCCUCACGCACCUGCGACCUCGCACUUGUGGUCCCCAAUCCGCAGGUGCGGUCAUGGCAGAAGCAACAGCUUCAACUGCUUAAAUCAAGUCCAUUCUUUUCCGUUAACCAUCUGAAAUCAUCCAAGGCCCCCGGAACCUCAACCAAACAUGAAAACAAGUCACCUAUCACCAUUCAAACUUAUUCCAAUCUUCAAAACACUCAAAACAACCUCAAAACAUCAAAUCACCCUCGGAUUUAAGCCUAAAGAUUUCCAAACUUCCGAAUUCCGCAAACGAUGCCAAAACCUAUCAAACCUCGUCCGAAUGACCUGAAAUUUUGCACGCACGUCCCAAAUGACACAAUAGACCUACUCCAAUUCUAAAAAUUUCAUUCCCGAUAUCAAGAUUUUUACUGCCGACCGAAAAAUGCCAAAUUUUCAAUUUCGCCAAUUCAAGCCUAAAUCUACCACAAGCCUCCAAAUUACAUUUCGAACACGCUCUUAAGUCCCAAAUCACCUAACGAAGCUAUCCGAACCAUAAAACCCCAAUUCCGAGAUCAUUUACCCAUAAGUCAACUUUCGAUUGACUUUUCCAACUAAAUAACCAACUUAAGAGACUAAGUGCCUCAUUCCACUCUAGGACCACUCCAAACACAACACAACCAACACGAUAUGAUGAAAUACCACUGAACAACACACAAGGAAGCAGAAAUGAAGGAAACAAGGUUGCAACAUAUGAAACAACCGGCCGGGUCGUUACAGAUAAUCUAGACUUUAACUAUCACCCUCCAUGUGAAAAGUUGAAUAUAAUACAGUUGGGGUUUGCAGAUGACCUACUGUUGUUUUAUAGGGGAGAUUUGGUAUCUACUAAACUACUGUACAAGUACUUUCAGUAAUUCUCCCUGGCAUCUGUGUUGGUAGCCAAUCAAGGGAAGAGUGCUGUCUACAUUGGAGGUGUGCCAGACCAGAUUCAGCAGUAAAUAAUACAAGAGUCAGGAUUCUCUGUGGGAUCUCUCCCCUCCAGGUACCUGGGAGUUCCACUCAGCUCAAAAAGACUAGCAAUUGGGCAAUAUCAACCAUUAAUAGAGAGGAUGAUAAGGAAAGUAACCUCCUGGACAUCAAAGUUUCUAUCCUAUGCAGGUACAUUGCAGGUGAUCAGAAGAGUACUCACAGCCAUCUAACAAUUUUGGUCUCAAAUAUUCAUCCUGCCCAAGAAGGUGAUUCAGAGGAUUGAACAAGUGUGUCGGAGAUUUCUACGAAAUGGAAAUUAUGAAUGCUCAAAGAAGGCUCUAAUAGCUUGGGACAAACUCUGCUUGCCAAAAUCAGCAGGUGGUCUCAACAUACCAGACAUCUACACAUGGAAUAAAGCUGUCAUACUUAAACACUACUGGAACCUAUGUAAGAAGAAGGAUAAGCUUUGGAUACAAUAGGUGCAUAUCUACUAUACUAAGGUUAAUGAAGUAUGGGAAACCACUGCUACACAAGAAUCUUGGCUGAUUCAGAAUAACCUAAAGGAUAAACAAUACCUGGAGAAUGCAUGACUAACUGUCAAGGAAUUUUUGAACUGUGAGACAUAUGUUAUAAAGACAAUGUACAAUAAGCCGAGAGACAAUUAUUUUAAAGUACAUUGGAGGAAGUUGAUGUGCAACAAGCAGGUCAGCCCCAAGUGAUUAUUCAUCAUAUACCUUGCAAUACAAGACAGACUAUAUACAAGGACUAGAUUGCAAAAAUGGGGUAUGGGAUAUGGAACGACCUGUCCAUUAUGUGAUAGCGUUGAUGAGGAUGUGCAACACCUGUUCUUAAUAUGCCCAGUUACAUACCAGAUUUGGCAACAGAUCCUCCAGUGGCAGGGAAUUCAACGCCAUGCUAUGGAAUGGCAGGAAGAAGUUGAGUGGGUGCAAAAACAUGCCUAUAGUAACAAUGAAAAAGCAGAGACAUACCGAACGACCCUUGCAGGAAGUGUAUACUAUACCUGAUUAGAAAGGAACAACAAAAUCUUCCAACAAAGAACCAGACCAGCAGCAACUACAGUAAGACAGAUCAUUCAAGACAUACAUUGCAGAGGAAGAAAGAGGAAGAAAUUGAAAAUCCAGUUGAAGAAACUUGACUACUACCCUAGUUAGUUUGUAGGAAGACAUAGCCUAGUUUUCAACUCUAUCUUUUUGUAUGGCUGUAGGUGAAGUAAUAAAGUUGGACCUUGGGGUUGUGGUCCAACUUUAGCGGUUUCUG
rnacentral:lncRNA from 1 species